rnacentral:rRNA from 1 species
CUGCUGCCUUCCGUAGGAGUUUGGACCGUGUCUCAGUUCCAGUGUGGGGGACCUUCCUCUCAGAACCCCUACGCAUCGUCGCCACGGUGGGCCGUUACCCCGCCGUCUAGCUAAUGCGCCGCAUGCCCAUCCUCUUCCGAUGAAUCUUUCCUCGAUCUCGGAUGCCCGAAACCGAUAUACGCGGGAUUAGCCUCCCUUUCGGAAGGUUGUCCCCUGAAGAGGGCAGGUUGCAUACGUGUUACUCACCCGUGCGCCGGUCGCCGGCG